CACGUAGGGGGCAAGCGUUGUCCGGAUUUAUUGGGCGUAAAGAGCUCGUAGACGGUUCGGUAAGUCGGGUGUGAAACCUCCAGGCUCAACCUGGAGACGCCACCCGAUACUGCUGUGACUAGAGUCCGGUAGGGGAGCGUGGAAUUCCUGGUGUAGCGGUGAAAUGCGCAGAUAUCAGGAGGAACACCAGCGGCGAAGGCGGCGCUCUGGGCCGGAACUGACGCUGAGGAGCGAAAGCGUGGGGAGCAAACAGG
rnacentral:rRNA from 1 species